UAAUUUGAUUCUUUUCUCCCUCUUGUAGAUUCAUGGAGAAAACCUACCAGCAAAUCAAUCGUACACACACACAUUAAAAAAAACACAGAAAAAAUUCAACAAAAUUAGGACUUGAAGGUGCCGAAAUCAGUAGCUACCUUGGCAGCGGGUCCGUGCAGUUUGCGGCCGCGGAGAAUCUUCACAGUGCGGCCAAUCCCAUUUGUAAGCACUCUUCCAAAAAAUCAAGAAAGAUCAGAUUUUUGAUGAAGCGGCUGAUGGGGAAACUGCUGAGAUUAUUGUUUGUGGAGAGCAGUAUGAUAAUUGUGGUUGAAAAAAUUGAGGCUCAGAUGAAGGAGAGCUCUCGAAACUGGAGACAAUGUUGGCUGAGGAGAGAGCUGCUCGAGCGGAGGCAAAUCUGAAGUCACUGGAACUUCAGGCGAAGGCGGAACAUGAGUUGCACGAGAGCUGAGAGAGAGCCUGAGCAGGGCUGAUCAUCGAAGCUGAGAGCUUCUGGAGGAGCUUAAUCUUUUAGGUGAGGCGGGCGGCUUUAAAGAAACAAACGUGUCAUUUUACCUAUGAGUUCGGUUGAAGAGUGACGAAUGAUGAAAAAUUCAAGGUUUUAGUUUAUAAUGAUAGAUUUUUAUCCUCCUACUCCAUGAAUUAAUGUUUAAAUA